rnacentral:rRNA from 1 species
CGACCGCUGGCGGCGCGCCUAACACAUGCAAGUCGAACGAGCGAGAGAGAGCUUGCUUUCUUGAGCGAGUGGCGAACGGGUGAGUAACGCGUGAGGAACCUGCCUCAAAGAGGGGGACAACAGUUGGAAACGACUGCUAAUACCGCAUAAGCCCACGACCCGGCAUCGGGUUGAGGGAAAAGGAGCAAUCCGCUUUGAGAUGGCCUCGCGUCCGAUUAGCUAGUUGGUGAGGUAACGGCCCACCAAGGCGACGAUCGGUAGCCGGACUGAGAGGUUGAACGGCCACAUUGGGACUGAGACACGGCCCAGACUCCUACGGGAGGCAGCAGUGGGGAAUAUUGCACAAUGGGGGAAACCCUGAUGCAGCGACGCCGCGUGGAGGAAGAAGGUCUUCGGAUUGUAAACUCCUGUUGUUGAGGAAGAUAAUGACGGUACUCAACAAGGAAGUGACGGCUAACUACGUG